rnacentral:rRNA from 1 species
AGAGUUUGAUCCUGGCUCAGGACGAACGCUGGCGGCGCGCCUAACACAUGCAAGUCGAACGGAGCUUAGAGAGCUUGCUUUUUAAGCUUAGUGGCGAACGGGUGAGUAACGCGUGAGUAACCUGCCCUAGAGUGGGGGACAACAGUUGGAAACGACUGCUAAUACCGCAUAAGCCCACGGUACCGCAUGGUACUGAGGGAAAAGGAUUUAUUCGCUUUAGGAUGGACUCGCGUCCAAUUAGCUAGUUGGUGAGGUAACGGCCCACCAAGGCGACGAUUGGUAGCCGGACUGAGAGGUUGAACGGCCACAUUGGGACUGAGACACGGCCCAGACUCCUACGGGAGGCAGCAGUGGGGGAUAUUGCACAAUGGGGGAAACCCUGAUGCAGCGACGCCGCGUGGAGGAAGAAGGUCUUCGGAUUGUAAACUCCUGUUGUUGGGGAAGAUAAUGACGGUACCCAACAAGGAAGUGACGGCUAACUACGUGCCAGCAGCCGCGGUAAAACGUAGGUCACAAGCGUUGUCCGGAAUUACUGGGUGUAAAGGGAGCGCAGGCGGGAAGACAAGUUGGAAGUGAAAUCUAUGGGCUCAACCCAUAAACUGCUUUCAAAACUGUUUUUCUUGAGUAGUGCAGAGGUAGGCGGAAUUCCCGGUGUAGCGGUGGAAUGCGUAGAUAUCGGGAGGAACACCAGUGGCGAAGGCGGCCUACUGGGCACCAACUGACGCUGAGGCUCGAAAGCAUGGGUAGCAAACAGGAUUAGAUACCCUGGUAGUCCAUGCCGUAAACGAUGAUUACUAGGUGUUGGGGGAUUGACCCCCUCAGUGCCGCAGUUAACACAAUAAGUAAUCCACCUGGGGAGUACGACCGCAAGGUUGAAACUCAAAGGAAUUGACGGGGGCCCG